rnacentral:rRNA from 1 species
GCCCUGGCAGUCAGAGGCGAUGAAGGACGUGCUAAUCUGCGAUAAGCGUCGGUAAGGUGAUAUGAACCGUUAUAACCGGCGAUUUCCGAAUGGGGAAACCCAGUGUGAUUCGUCACACUAUCAUUAACUGAAUCCAUAGGUUAAUGAGGCGAACCGGGGGAACUGAAACAUCUAAGUACCCCGAGGAAAAGAAAUCAACCGAGAUUCCCCCAGUAGCGGCGAGCGAACGGGGAGCAGCCCAGAGCCUGAAUCAGUGUGUGUGUUAGUGGAAGCGUCUGGAAAGGCGUGCGAUACAGGGUGACAGCCCCGUACACAAAAAUGCACAUAUUGUGAGCUCGAUGAGUAGGGCGGGACACGUGGUAUCCUGUCUGAAUAUGGGGGGACCAUCCUCCAAGGCUAAAUACUCCUGACUGACCGAUAGUGAACCAGUACCGUGAGGGAAAGGCGAAAAGAACCCCGGCGAGGGGAGUGAAAAAGAACCUGAAACCGUGUACGUACAAGCAGUGGGAGCACGCUUAGGCGUGUGACUGCGUACCUUUUGUAUAAUGGGUCAGCGACUUAUAUUCUGUAGCAAGGUUAACCGAAUAGGGGAGCCGAAGGGAAACCGAGUCUUAACUGGGCGUUAAGUUGCAGGGUAUAGACCCGAAACCCGGUGAUCUAGCCAUGGGCAGGUUGAAGGUUGGGUAACACUAACUGGAGGACCGAACCGACUAAUGUUGAAAAAUUAGCGGAUGACUUGUGGCUGGGGGUGAAAGGCCAAUCAAACCGGGAGAUAGCUGGUUCUCCCCGAAAGCUAUUUAGGUAGCGCCUCGUGAAUUCAUCUCCGGGGGUAGAGCACUGUUUCGGCAAGGGGGUCAUCCCGA